AUACUUAAAUGGCAGGGGAAAUACCACACUCAAGUGGGUGUUUUCUCCAGGAUGAAGCUCUUCCAUUUUAAUCUUCGGCUGGGUAGACCCCUGUGAUUUCUCUAAAUGUGGGAAAUUCAACUGUAUAAUUUAUGAUAGUGGGGGACCGCGUUCAUGCAGUCUUCUA